GCCAUGCUGAAUAUACCGGUUCUCGUUAGAUCACCGAAGUCAAGCAUCAUUGGGCGCGGUCAGUACUUGGGUGGGUGACCACCUGGGAACACCGCGUGCCGUU